rnacentral:rRNA from 1 species
GACAGAGGGGGCAAGCGUUGCUCGGAAUCACUGGGCGUAAAGGGCGCGUAGGCGGGAUGGCAAGUCAGUCGUGAAAUCUCUCGGCUCAACCGAGAAACGUCGGCUGAUACUGCCGUUCUUGAGGGAUGCAGAGGAGACUGGAAUUCCCGGUGUAGCGGUGAAAUGUGUAGAGAUCGGGAGGAACACCGGUGGCGAAGGCGGGUCUCUGGGCAUCUCCUGACGCUGAGGCGCGAAAAGCGUGGGGGGAGCAAACGGG